UACGUAGGGUGCAAGCGUUGUCCGGAAUUAUUGGCGUAAAGAGCUCGUAGGCGGUCUGUCGCGUCGGCUGUGAAAUCCCGGAGCUCAACUCCGGGCCUGCAGUCGAUACGGGCAGACUGGAGUUCGGCAGGGGAGACUGGAAUUCCUGGUGUAGCGGUGAAAUGCGCAGAUAUCAGGAGGAACACCGGUGGCGAAGGCGGGUCUCUGGGCCGAUACUGACGCUGAGGAGCGAAAGCGUGGGGAGCGAA
rnacentral:rRNA from 1 species